rnacentral:ncRNA from 1 species
GUGAGCCACAUGCGGGGAGACCCGCAAGUAUGGUUUUUCGGGGGAUCCGGCUGGUCGGCGCCCAUCCGAC